GACGAACGCUGGCGGCGUGCUUAACACAUGCAAGUCGAACGGAAAGGCCCUGCUUUUGUGGGGUGCUCGAGUGGCGAACGGGUGAGUAACACGUGAGUAACCUGCCCUUGACUUUGGGAUAACUUCAGGAAACUGGGGCUAAUACCGGAUAGGAGCUCCUGCUGCAUGGUGGGGGUUGGAAAGUUUCGGCGGUUGGGGAUGGACUCGCGGCUUAUCAGCUUGUUGGUGGGGUAGUGGCUUACCAAGGCUUUGACGGGUAGCCGGCCUGAGAGGGUGACCGGCCACAUUGGGACUGAGAUACGGCCCAGACUCCUACGGGAGGCAGCAGUGGGGAAUAUUGCACAAUGGGCGGAAGCCUGAUGCAGCAACGCCGCGUGCGGGAUGACGGCCUUCGGGUUGUAAACCGCUUUAGCCUGCGACGAAGCGUGAGUGACGGUAAUGGGUAAAGAAGCACCGGCUAACUACGUG
rnacentral:rRNA from 1 species